GAUGAACGCUGGCGGCGUGCCUAAUACAUGCAAGUCGAGCGAACAGACGAGGAGCUUGCUCCUCUGACGUUAGCGGCGGACGGGUGAGUAACACGUGGAUAACCUACCUAUAAGACUGGGAUAACUUCGGGAAACCGGAGCUAAUACCGGAUAAUAUAUUGAACCGCAUGGUUCAAUAGUUAAAGACGGUUUUGCUGUCACUUAUAGAUUGAUCCGCGCCGCAUUAGCUAGUUGGUAAGGUAACGGCUUACCAAGGCGACGAUGCGUAGCCGACCUGAUAGGGUGAUCGGCCACACUGGAACUGGAACACGGGACAGACUCCAACGGGAGGCAGCAGUAGGAAAUCUUCGGAAAUGGGAGAAAGCAUGACGGAGAAACGACGCGUGAGUGAUGAAGGGCUUGGGAUCAUAAAACUCUGUUAUUAGGGAAGAACAAAGGUGAAAGUAAGUAUGCACGUCUUGACGGUACAUAAUAAGAAAGCCACGGCUAACUACGU
rnacentral:rRNA from 1 species